rnacentral:rRNA from 1 species
GUCUAUUUGAAGUUAUAAAAAGUCUAACCUGCCCGCUGAAAGAAAAAAAAUUUAAGGGCCGCGGUAUUAUGACCGUGCUAAGGUAGCAUAAUCAUUAGGUUUUUAAAUGAGAUCUUGCAUGAAUGGUUGAACAAAGGAGAAACUGUCUUGAGUGAUAAAAUUUGAAUUUUACUUUUAAGUGAGAAGGCUUAAAUAUUUUAAGGGGACGAUAAGACCCUAUAAAACUUUACAUUGGAUUUAUAUUUGGUUGAAUUUAAGUAAUAAAGAUCUAAAAUAAAGAUUUGUUGUGUUGGGGCGACAAAAGUAGAAAUUAUAGUAGCUGCUUAAAAAAGAAUCAUUAUUAGAUGAUAUGAGUUGAAGAUCUUAAUUAAAAAUUUAAAGAUUAAGUUACUUUAGGGAUAACAGUGUAAUUUUUUUUGAGAGUUCAUAUCGAAAGAAAAGUUUGCAACCUCGAUGUUGAAUUAAAAUAUCUUUAUGAUGAAGCAGUUAUAUAAGAGGGUCUGUUCGACCUUUAAUUUUUUACAUGAUUUGAGUUCAAAUCGGCGUGAG